rnacentral:rRNA from 1 species
AUUGAACGCUGGCGGCAGGCCUAACACAUGCAAGUCGAACGAGUGGCGGACGGGUGAGUAAUGUCUGGGAAACUGCCCGAUGGAGGGGGAUAACUACUGGAAACGGUAGCUAAUACCGCAUACCAUCGGAUGUGCCCAGAUGGGAUUAGCUUGUAGGUGAGGUAACGGCUCACCUAGGCGACGAUCCCUAGCUGGUCUGAGAGGAUGACCAGCCACACGGGAACUGAGACACGGUACAGACGCCUACGGGAGGCAGCAGGGGGGAAUAUUGCAGAAUGGGCGCAAGCCUGAUGCAGCCAUGCGUGGGGUAUGAAGAAGGCCUGCUAGUUGGAAAGUACUUUCAGCUGGGAGGCGGGACCCGCAGAAGAAGCACCGGCUAACUCCGUGCCAUCAGCCGCGGGAAUAC